rnacentral:rRNA from 1 species
GACAGAGGGUGCAAGCGUUGUUCGGAAUUACUGGGCGUAAAGCGCGUGUAGGCGGCUAUGUAAGUCGGGCGUGAAAUCCCACGGCUCAACCGUGGAAGUGCACCCGAAACUGCGUAGCUAGAGUCCUGGAGAGGAAGGUGGAAUGCUUGGUGUAGAGGUGAAAUUCGUAGAUAUCAAGCGGAACACCGGUGGCGAAGGCGGCCUUCUGGACAGUGACUGACGCUGAGACGCGAAAGCGUGGGGAGCAAACAGG